AUACGGAGGGUGCGAGCGUUAAUCGGAAUUACUGGGCGUAAAGGGCGCGUAGGUGGUUAUUUAAGUCGGAUGUGAAAGGCCUGGGCUCAACCUAGGAAGGUCAUACGAUACUGGAUAGCUAGAGUACAGGAGAGGGCUGUGGAAUUCCAUGUGUAGCGGUGAAAUGCGUAGAUAUGUGGAGGAACAUCAGUGGCGAAGGCGGCAGUCUGGCCUGAUACUGACGCUGAGGCGCGAAAGCGUGGGUAGCAAACAGGAUUAGAAACCCCGGUAGUCC
rnacentral:rRNA from 1 species